ACCACUGCUAAUCUAGUGAAUCUAUCACUGCUGCCAAUCUAUCUAUUGCUGUCAAUCUAUCUACCACUGUCAAUCUACUGCUGCCAAUCUAUCACUGCUAAUCUAUCACUGCCAAUCUAUCUAUCACUGCUAAUCUAUCGCUGCUAAUCUAUUGCUGCUAAUCUAUCGCUGCCAAUCUAUCUAUUGCUGUCAAUCUAUCUACCACUGUCAAUCUACUGCUGCCAAUCUAUCACUGCUAAUCUAUCACUGCCAAUCUAUCUAUCACUGCUAAUCUAUCGCUGCCAAUCUAUCGCUGCUAAUCUAUCGCUGCCAAUCUAUCGCUGCUAAUCUAUCGCUGCUAAUCUAUCACUGCUAAUCUAUCGCUGCUAAUCUAUUGCUGCUAAUCUAUCGCUGCUAAUCUAUUGCUGCUAAUCUAUCGCUGCCAAUUUAUCGCUGCCAAUCUAUCGCUGCUAAUCUAUCGCUGCCAAUCUAUCGCUGCUAAUCUAUCGCUGCUAAUCUAUCACUGCUAAUCUAUCGCUGCUAAUCUAUUGCUGCUAAUCUAUCGCUGCUAAUCUAUUGCUGCUAAUCUAUCGCUGCUAAUCUAUUGCUGCUAAUCUAUCGCUGCCAACCUACCUACCGCUGCCAACCUAUCUACUGCUGCCAACCUAUCUACCACUGCUAAUCUAUCACUGCUGCCAAUCUAUAUAGGGUAAAUCAUGGUUACAAAAUGGGAUUAAAUGGAAUUAGAAUCACUAAUUUAUUAGUAAAAUAUGAUCUGAGACUAGAUUUAUAAUAUAAACAGUAUAAAAUAACUAAUUUACUAAACAUUAUAUAGAACCAGAACUAAGAUAUCUAAUAAUAAGACUGAGAAAAAAUUUGAACUUAGUUUUAUAUAUAAUCACACAGCCAGUCUAACUGCAGCAUCUGUACUAUUUAUAAAGAAAUC
rnacentral:sRNA from 2 species